rnacentral:rRNA from 1 species
UACGUAGGGUGCAAGCGUUUAUCCGGAAUUAUUGGGCGUAAAGAGCUCGUAGGCGGUUUGUCGCGUCUGCUGUGAAAACUGGAGGCUCAACCUCCAGCCUGCAGUGGGUACGGGCAGACUAGAGUGCGGUAGGGGUGACUGGAAUUCCUGGUGUAGCGGUGGAAUGCGCAGAUAUCAGGAGGAACACCGAUGGCGAAGGCAGGUCUCUGGGCCGAUACUGACGCUGAGGAGCGAAAGCGUGGGGAGCGAACAGG